CCUACGGGACGCAGCAGUGGGGAAUAUUGGACAAUGGGCGAAAGCCUGAUCCAGCCAUGCCGCGUGUGUGAAGAAGGCCUUCGGGUUGUAAAGCACUUUCAGUGGGGAAGAAAGCCUUGGGGCUAAUACCCUCGAGGAAGGACAUCACCCACAGAAGAAGCACCGGCUAACUCCGUGCCAGCAGCCGCGGUAAUACGGAGGGUGCGAGCGUUAAUCGGAAUUACUGGGCGUAAAGCGCGCGUAGGCGGUCUGAUAAGCCGGUUGUGAAAGCCCCGGGCUCAACCUGGGAACGGCAUCCGGAACUGUCAGGCUAGAGUGCAGGAGAGGAAGGUAGAAUUCCCGGUGUAGCGGUGAAAUGCGUAGAGAUCGGGAGGAAUACCAGUGGCGAAGGCGGCCUUCUGGACUGACACUGACGCUGAGGUGCGAAAGCGUGGGUAGCAAACAGGAUUAGAUACCCCAGUAGUC
rnacentral:rRNA from 1 species